UAGGGAAGAAGACAGAGGGAAAAAGAAAUAUGUACGAAGGAGAGAAUGCGAAUCCCAUGUAGUCUUGCGUGGGUCGGCAAAUCCAUUUCGCGCUCGUGUUCCCUUUCUACCGACACAUUUGACACGGUAUUUGUGCGCACGCGUGUAUAUACACAGACACACAAGCCUUGUUUCUAUUUUAUCUGACACGUUGACUGUUCGUUCGCGUGGACGUCAUCCAGAAGGAAUAAUGUCAAGGACAAGAGGCGUCCAAUCAGCCGGACCGACAAAUUUGUAAACGAUUGACGCAAGGUGCACACCCUCCACACGAGAUAAAGAUAUGCGUGAGCUUAGCAGCUUCUGUAUCUCUCGAACGGUCAAUCGAUUAAUUCGAUUAAAUUGAUCGAUUCGCGUGGGCCUUCCGGAGCCAUCUUUUAUUCAUGCGAACGAAAUGGAAUUUUUCGAAACAUUUAGGUGGCUAUUCAAUUCGUACUAUACAGGGUGACUCAUAUUAUUUUUCUCUCGCAAAUAAUAAUAUGCACCGUCCAUAAAUCACGAGUAAAGUAAAGGGUGGAAAUAAUUGGUAAGCCACGGAGCAAAAUUGCCAGCGAUAUUAUCCGGUAUACUGCGAAUGUUCAAUAAAUUUCCAUCAGACUGGGCACAUACACGUGGCUCCAUUACAGCAGAAAACUCUUUCUCGUGGUCGAUACGAUUUCGAUCAUAAUUUACCUAAUCAUAGUAUCAAAUGUCACACAACUAUGACAUCUUUUUUGUUUAUCAUAUUAUA